GUCGUAGUGUCGAGUUUUGUUCAUGCGGUCGACCUUUACUGCGUUACCUCGCAUUGUGUGGUGUGUUGCGGUUACUGACGUAAGCGCAAGUUCUUCACUGAGUAUGAUCCGCGGCACCGUGCAAAUAGUCACCAGAUGCCGGCCGUGCGACUCCGUUCUCUGCGACUCCUUUGUUCGGUGUGAUCGAGGGACGUGAUUCUUAGCUUUGGAGACCCUCUUUACACCGUGCCCUCUUCAACGUUUCCACACAUCAGUGAGUAGCAGCACCGCAAUCUUUACUCGACGGCACGCUCCGUGGGCCUAGAAAAUGCCUUGACGUUCGAGCACUUCGGGAGCUAUACCGGCGGACAGCCGGAUGCGGGUAGCUUGGCCGUUCCUUGCUCUGCGCAUCGCUUGAAAACCGGCGGUCAUCCUGCAGUGCACGCUGCCAGCGUGCUUUCUUGCCAGAGCCACCUCCCCUGCUGGUGAUGACCAUAUGCAGCCAAUGCUGAUGUGAACCCGAGGGAUUAACAAAUGCAGAUCUGCAAAGGAGCUGUCCUGAGGCACCAUGCUUACUCAAGUCAUGCAGCGAGAGUCAGCAUGCCUGGAAAAGUACAUCAAAGCACACCCCAUCUGGCUGACUGCACUACCUCAAGGAAACUGCCUUUCUCCUAUCUGCAAGUUCCUAAGAAGUUACUAUAUGAAGCAAGCCAGCAGGGCGUACGUGUUAGGCAUGGCAGCAUG